GACGAACGCUGGCGGCGUGCUUAACACAUGCAAGUCGAACGGAAAGGCCCUGCUUUUGUGGGGUGCUCGAGUGGCGAACGGGUGAGUAACACGUGAGUAACCUGCCCUUGACUUUGGGAUAACUUCAGGAAACUGGGGCUAAUACCGGAUAGGAGCUCCUGCUGCAUGGUGGGGGUUGGAAAGUUUCGGCGGUUGGGGAUGGACUCGCGGCUUAUCAGCUUGUUGGUGGGGUAGUGGCUUACCAAGGCUUUGACGGGUAGCCGGCCUGAGAGGGUGACCGGCCACAUUGGGACUGAGAUACGGCCCAGACUCAUACGGGAGGCAGCAGUGAGGAAUAUUGCACAAUGGGCGGAAGCCUGAUGCAGCAACGCCGCGUGCGGGAUGACGGCCUUCGGGUUGUAAACCGCUUUCGCCUGUGACGAAGCGUGAGUGACGGUAAUGGGUAAAGAAGCACCGGCUAACUACGUG
rnacentral:rRNA from 1 species